GAUGAACGCUGGCGGCGUGCCUAAUACAUGCAAGUCGAGCGAACGGACGAGAAGCUUGCGUCUCUGAUGUUAGCGGCGGACGGGUGAGUAACACGUGGAUAACCUACCUAUAAGACUGGGAGAACUUCGGGAAACCGGAGCUAAUACCAGAUAAUAUUUUGAACCGCAUGGUUCAAAAGUGAAAGACGGUCUUGCUGUCACUUAUAGAUGGAUCCGCGCUGCAUUAGCUAGUUGGUAAGGUAACGGCUUACCAAGGCAACGAUGCAUAGCCGACCUGAGAGGGUGAUCGGCCACACUGGAACUGAGACACGGUCCAGACUCCUACGGGAGGCAGCAGUAGGGAAUCUUCCGCAAUGGGCGAAAGCCUGACGGAGCAACGCCGCGUGAGUGAUGAAGGUCUUCGGAUCGUAAAACUCUGUUAUUAGGGAAGAACAUAUGUGUAAGUAACUGUGCACAUCUUGACGGUACCUAAUCAGAAAGCCACGGCUAACUACGUG
rnacentral:rRNA from 1 species